rnacentral:rRNA from 1 species
AGACCGAUAGUAAACAAGUACUGUGUAGGAAAGCUGAAAAGAACUUUGAAGAGAGAGUUCAAUAGUACGUGAAACUGUGUAGUGGUAAACGGAGGGGUUUCUCGAAGUCUGUACCGGAGGUUCAGGUUGACGGUAGCGCAGCAGUGGUGUUGGAGUGUCGCAAGAUCUCUGCAUUACUGUCAGUGUUAUUGGCGGCUGCACUUCUCCGGUGCUUCACACGACGAACCGUUGGCAUCAGACCGAAGGCAUGGGUGAAGUUCGUUCCUUGUGUUCGAGCCCUGUGUUCUUGGCUUUGAAGUCGACGGGGAUUUGAGCAGGCAUGUAUAGCAUGUGUUCAUGUUUGACACGGUCUGCAUCUCUGUCGUGAGUAGGUUGGCGGCCCCUCCGACCCGUCUUGAAACACGGAC